GCCUUCGUGGUGUAAUAGUCAAGCACACUCGGCGCGUAUUCGAGUGGUCUUAGGUUCGAGUCCCGGCGAGGACA
rnacentral:tRNA from 1 species